rnacentral:rRNA from 1 species
AUUGAACGCUGGCGGCAGGCCUAACACAUGCAAGUCGAGCGAGCGGCGGACGGGUGAGUGAUGUGUGGGAGAAUGCCUGAUGGGGGGGGAUAACUACUGUAAACGGUAGCUAAUACCGCAUACCAUAAGAUGUGCCCAGAUGGGAUGAGCUAGUAGGUGGGGUAACGGCGCACCUAGGCGACGAUCCCUAGCUGGUCUGAGAGGAUGACCAGCCACACUGGAACUGAGACACGGUCCAGCCUCCUACGGGAGGCAGCAGUGGGGAAGAUUGCACAAUGGGCGCAAGCCUGAUGCAGCCAUGCCGCGUGUGUGAAGAAGGCCUUCGGGUUGUAAAGCACUUUCAGCGGGGAGGCGUUACCCGCAGAAGAAGCACCGGCUAACUCCGUGCCAGCAGCCGCGGUAAUUC